GACGAACGCUGGCGGCGUGCUUAACACAUGCAAGUCGAACGGAAAGGCCCUGCUUUUGUGGGGUGCUCGAGUGGCGAACGGGUGAGUAACACGUGAGUAACCUGCCCUUGACUUUGGGAUAACUUCAGGAAACUGGGGCUAAUACCGGAUAGGAGCUCCUGCUGCAUGGUGGGGGUUGGAAAGUUUCGGCGGUUGGGGAUGGACUCGCGGCUUAUCAGCUUGUUGGUGGGGUAGUGGCUUACCAAGGCUUUGACGGGUAGCCGGCCUGAGAGGGUGACCGGCCCCAUUAGAACUGAGAUACGGCCCAGCCUCCUACGGGAGGCAGCAGUGGGGAAUAUUGCACAAUGGACGGAAGCCUGAUGCAGCAACGCCGCGUGCGGGAUAACGGCCUUCGGGUUGUAAACCGCUUUCGCCUGUGACGAAGCGUGAGUGACGGUAAUGGGUAAAGAAGCACCGGCUAACUACGUG
rnacentral:rRNA from 1 species